GGGAUUGCCCUAGUAACGGCGAGUGAAGCGGCAACAGCUCAAAUUUGAAAUCUGGCCCUAGGCCCGAGUUGUAAUUUGCAGAGGAUGCUUUUGGUGACGCGCCUACCGAGUCCCCUGGAAUGGGGCGCCACAGAGGGUGAGAGCCCCGUAUGGUUUGCCGCCGAGCCUUUGUAAAGCUCCUUCGACGAGUCGAGUAGUUUGGGAAUGCUGCUCUAAAUGGGAGGUAAAUUUCUUCUAAAGCUAAAUACCGGCCAGAGACCGAUAGCGCACAAGUAGAGUGAUCGAAAGAUGAAAAGCACUUUGAAAAGAGGGUUAAAUAGCACGUGAAAUUGUUGAAAGGGAAGCGCUUGUGACCAGACUUGCGCCGGGCGGAUCAUCCAGCGUUCUCGCUGGUGCACUCCGUCCGGCUCAGGCCAGCAUCGGUUUUCGCCGGGGGACAAAAGCUUCGGGAACGUAGCUCCCUUCGGGGAGUGUUAUAGCCCGUUGCAUAAUACCCCGGCGGGGACCGAGGACCGCGCUUCGGCAAGGAUGCUGGCGUAAUGGUCAUCAGCGACCCGUCUUGAAACACGGACCGAGGAGUCAAGCAUUAGUGCGAGUGUUUGGGUGUAAAACCCGCACGCGUAAUGAAAGUGAACGUAGGUGAGAGCUUCGGCGCAUCAUCGACCGAUCCUGAUGUUUUCGGAUGGAUUUGAGUAGGAGCAUUAACGCUUGGACCCGAAAGAUGGUGAACUAUACUUGAAUAGGGUGAAGCCAGAGGAAACUCUGGUGGAGGCUCGCAGCGGUUCUGACGUGCAAAUCGAUCGUCAAAUUUG
rnacentral:rRNA from 1 species